CGCCCGCCCGCCCGCCCGCUCGGGGCUCCGCUUCGGGUGUCGAGAUCACCCCGUUCUGAACACGCCCCAACCCCAUUCAUGACCCCCGGCUUCAUGUAUUCCAGUAUCUCUACUAAUCCCCCCAGUCGCAUGAGAUUUGGGUAGAUCGUUAGGGAGACUUCGACAGAUGCGAGCACAGUUACCAGGUUUACAGUUCGACAUAACCUAAUCUGCUGGGUUGAAAGAGCAGUUCUGUGGGAAGGCUGGGUGGAGCUAGCGACGGUAGCUGCCGCAUUGUAUGGCACCGCUGAGAACCUAAGCUCGUUCCUUUUGGUUUCGUCAUUGCGACUCCCUGCAGUUAGAUCUCACCGUGUACGUCUUGCCACAGAGCAGCAUUUUCAGAUUUGAGUGUAAAUGUUUUACGUGCCAUGGACUGGGCACAGUUGGAAUCAAAUUAUGAUACUCUGUCACCUACAUAAGAAGACAUGAGCUUUGGGAGGAGAGCCAAUUCAGACAUUUACAAGAGAUUUUCUAGGAAGUAAGACUAUCCAGUCUUAGCCGUGCUUCUUAACUCAUUCGAUCCGCAAGUAAGCCGAUGUCCUGACCCCCUUCAAGGUCUCUCUUGAUCUUGAGUCUAUUUCAGGUUUCUGUGAACGUUUCUAUUAGCCGUGUCUGUUUUGUAUAGGAGAAAUCACAUCCUUAACAUUGCCACUGGUGUGUGAAGCAAGGUUCAUAGUGCAAUGACCCAGUUCUGCCUAUGGCUUAGCACAGCCAGAGGUAGACAAAUGAGGUUUAUGUUUGUGUGCAUAAUGAAGAAGUAACUGUGCCGCCUUGUGAACUGUCUUUGUGGAGCAGUUUGUUCAUGAGGUAUUUUUACCGUCAUUACCAUGCAGAAGAUGAAUAUGUAUUUACCAACUGUAAUCGUGAGUGAGUGGAUAGGCUCACGUGAGGCAGGAUUUCAGGUGGUCUUUAUGACUUAAACUGUUCAGCUGCUUUACUUAGAAAGAUCUGGCGAAUCAAUAUGCAAUGCUCUUGGGAUGUAACAGAAGAAAAGAAUAUACGUGUAGAAUGAUUGGCUGCGUUGGGUUAUCCAAAAGCAUCUCCAAGGACCCAGCAGUGCACUGUUGCUGAACUCGAUGAACUGCGGGCCGAGAUUGGCCAGUGCAAAGCAGUGUAUCUUUGUACCCGACAAAACUAACUAUUGAUUUGCUCAUGAACUAGCGCAGCAACCUUGGGAUCGUGUGCCCUAAAGUUCGAUCCGGAAAUUUCUCUGAAGUCCUCACGCACGUCUCAGAAGUUGCCUUCAUCAGGAAUGUUCACGUACACAAUACACCACCGAAUUUACAGGUUACUAGUGAGGAGGCUCAGCCCGAUUCUGGUUUCAAACUCGGUGCAAUUAGGCUUGAGAGCUAAUGGAUACCCAGUUGCAACAGAAGAAACAAACAAGUUGCUAACCCUAUGUGAUUCUUCUCCUGUUUCUUUGUGUUAAAUGCUAACCAAUUCCAGCUACAUAACUAUCUUGCUGACGUGCUGUACAACUUGGAACACCCUGGGUCUUCGAAUAUCGAUAGGAAAGGUUUGUUGAAUCCAAGUUUUUUCGAGAUGGGGCUUGGUUCACUCGUACAGUCGAUGUGGCUGUUGCUGAUGGUCCUUCCGUAUUACUUUGGAUUUCCGUCUCUAUGCAUGCUGUGGUAGAAGUACCGGAAACUAUGAUUCUUUGAGAUCAUAUGUUUGAUUCACAAUCUUCUGGUUCUGAACUGUUGUUGUACGAAUUCGUUUUUGAUCGAGUGGGGCAAUGUGAUUCUGCAGCUCGUCUAGUUGGCUUAUUAGACUUUUUAAGAAGGUCCUUCGAAAGGUGGUUGCAAUUCUAUUAGACCAAAGAUUUGCCUAGAGCUUCUUUCAGAAUUCAAAUUGUUCAAUAUGAUCUUCCGAUAAGGUCCUGUGGUCUUCUACUCACGCGUGAGUAUUAGGUAGCGCUGAUAUGUCUAAUACUGACAACCUGUGGUAGCAGUUGAAGCUUCAUACCACGAUUGAAGUGUUUUGGGAUAUUUUUUUUCUUAUUUUCCUUUUUCUACGAUGUGAGCUUAGAGAUGUUUUGAUGUGACUUCACCUUGCAUGAUCUUAUCAUAUCGAAGAGUCAUCUGGAAGGUUACAACAGAAAUUUGAAGUACAGAUUUCUUUUGCUGCUUUCACUCCAUUGCCGAUCGGUGAGCACAAAUGUUCAAAAAAGUUUGGACAAUACAUCCGCUCAGGUUCAGGCCAUUGGUAGUUCGUUGACGUUAUUCAGGGCAAGUGUGAGCGAAAUUCGUUUCUCUGACCUAGUGAACAAUCACCAAUCGCUUGGUAAUACACUAUGUCACAAGCCCAUCCAAGUAAGCCAGUGCAUAGAACCUGAAAAAGUGCUUAUUGUGAGAUCUGAACUACUCGACUUAGCUGCUUUUGAAUCACUAGAAUAAGACAAGCCACAAGGACAUCAGUAGAGAGGGAGAAGUCUGUCUCCAGGGAAUGCAGGAUGUGUUGGUAUCCCUUAGCACAGGUAAACAUCUCAAACGAAGAAUCUUAUACCUGCCUAAAAAUAUGGAAUGUCUCAAAUCAUUAUGACACAAGAUGACGCCUGCUCACACUUUCCUAUCAUUAAAUGAUCAAAAUGGACAUUAUGAUGCUGCUAGAAGAACGCUUAACCUGUCUCUAAGUGGCUGAGCCAUUCAGAUAUUUCUAGACCUGCCCGACCAUACCGCAUCAAAGCACAUUAAGAACGUGGGUCCUGCGAUUGGGACCACAAACUGAUGGAAAUAGGGAACAUGUGGUUGGAUGCUAAUGAAAGUAGCUUCUUGAAGCACCGUCGCCAGACACAGGCCUCUGGAACUCGAAAGCCUCCUACCCACACCCUUCGGCGCCAGUCAGAUUCCGUAAGCAAGUGCCAGGUCUAAACUAGUGUCUUUUCAAGGUCACAGGAAGCUCGGCUCGUCACACAAUCCCAUCAAGAAGACCGUGAUGCUCAUCACCCCUGUAUUACUCGUCGAAGUGAAAGCACCGAAGCUUGUACCUAGACAGGCUUAGGGUAAUACAUAGAGGCAUAAUGAUGCGGGAGGUUUCUCAUAGUUGGUGGCGGAAAUUCCUCAGGCAUCAUGGUGCCAAAUAUAAGCAUUCCGUCGAAACAAGAGAAAACCAUAACGUUUGGUUCAACUAGCGUAAUAUUGAACCCUUCGAAUUGACAGAUUUGACAGCUCUUGUUUGAUUAUUACAGCCAUUCGAACCGUCAGAAUAGCGGCGCUUAUACCUCGGUUGUUGAGGAAACCGAGAAGAUUCAUUUGGAAAUGAACUAAACGAAACCAGUCAAAAUUUAAAAUUCCAGGAGCAGUGAUGAUAAAUAAAUAAACACAGAAUAGACCCACGUGGUCACGGCUCUCACGGCAGACGGCCUGAGCAGCUUGACUGGACAUAACGUGCUGUCCAAUUGGAGAGACUUUA